GACGAACGCUGGCGGCGUGCUUAACACAUGCAAGUCGAACGAUGAACCCGGAGCUUGCUCCGGUGGAUUAGUGGCGAACGGGUGAGUAACACGUGAGUAACCUGCCCUUGACUCUGGGAUAACUGCGGGAAACUGUAGCUAAUACCGGAUACGACCCUCGGCGGCAUCGCCAGGGGGUGGAAAGAAUUUCGGUCAAGGAUGGACUCGCGGCCUAUCGGCUAGUUGGUGAGGUAACGGCUCACCAAGGCGACGACGGGUAGCCGGCCUGAGAGGGUGACCGGGCACACUGGGACUGAGACACGGCCCAGACUCCUACGGGAGGCAGCAGUGGGGAAUAUUGGACAAUGGGCGGAAGCCUGAUCCAGCAACGCCGCGUGAGGGAUGACGGCCUUCGGGUUGUAAACCUCUUUCAGCAGGGACGAAGCGCAAGUGACGGUACCUGCAGAAGAAGCACCGGCCAACUACGUGCCAGCCGCCGCCGUAA
rnacentral:rRNA from 1 species